CAUUCGAAUCAAAUGAAAACAGGCUUGGUUAAAUUCGACUAAUUCGAAAUUUUGGUACUCUUUCAUCUCUAAGUGUUGGUAUCACAGCAGAACUACAAAAUCCUACAAAUUGAUUUAUAUGUUUUUUUAUCGAUAUAUCGAUUCUAAUUUUUUGUUGAUUUUAUUCUAAUCUCUGGAGUUCAUAGAUACUCAUUAAUAUUGAGACUCUUUCAAAUCAACAUGAGAAGAAUAGUUUUAGUUAUUUUUUGCUGGACAUCAGCUCCCUUAGUUCAACUUUUUCCAAAUCAAUUUAAUUUGAUUUCCUCGAAUAUUAAAAACGCCGAAACAGAAGAAGUUAUUAGUCGUGAACAAACUGUGAACAAAUUCAGUAACACGUUGCAAUAUUCGAUCAUCAACGGACACCCAGGUCAAGUCAGACAUUUCUUCGCGCGAGUAUCCAGGGUGGGGCAUCCUAAUACCUUCUGUGGGGGAGCGUGCAUCGGUAGUCACUGGGUGAUAACUGCCGCAACAUGUGUGCUGGGAGUGAAAGCUUCUUCAAUAGAGGUCGAGAUAGGAGGUCACCUCUCUACCAGACCCAGGAAAAAAUUUGGGCAGAAAAUAUUCAUUCCAAACAAUUUUAAGAACUCGAAUAAACCUCUGAACAACAUAGCGAUCAUUCAAAUCUGGAGCCGCAUCAAUUCGAUCCACAAAAUCCCAAUUUGCUCCAGACACAUGGACCUGGGUCAUUAUCUAGCAUUCACUGCAUUAGGAUCUACCAGCAGGAUGAUCACCACUUUACCCACGACACUGCACGAAAUGCCGCUUUAUGAA